rnacentral:rRNA from 1 species
CCAAUAGCGUAUAUUAAAGUUGUUGCAGUUAAAAAGCUCGUAGUUGAACUUCAGGCCUGGCUGGACGGUCCGCCUUCCGGGCGAGCACUGUCUGUGGUCGGGUCCUACCUUCUGGCGAAGCGUCAUGGCCGUAACCGGCCGUGGCGGGGAACCAGGACUUUUACUGUGAAAAAAUUAGAGUGUUCAAAGCAGGCAAUUUCGCUUGGAUACAUUAGCAUGGAAUAAUGGAAUAGGACAAUGGUUCUAUUUGUUGGUUUCUAGGACUGUUGUAAUGAUUAAUAGGGAUAGUUGGGGGCAGUAGUAUUCAAUUGUCAGAGGUGAAAUUCUUGGAUUUAUUGAAGACUAACUACUGCGAAAGCAUUUGCCAAGGAUGUUUUCAUUAAUCAAGAACGAAAGUUAGGGGAUCGAAGACGAUCAGAUACCGUCGUAGUCUUAACCAUAAACUAUGCCGACUAGGAAUCGGGCGAUGUUGACAAAAUGACGCGCUCGGCACCUCAUG